GUUGAGAUUGGAUCAUGAAGUGUUUUUGUAAGUCACCAAAUUCAUGUGGAUGUUGACAUUCCCAAGGUGUUCUCCCUCCCAUGGCAGCAGAGAGGGGCUGCUCUGUGUCAGUCAGAAACCAAUAUUUCCAAAGCAACAUUCUUUGCAGAUUCUACAAAGAGGUGAUACCACACAGC